rnacentral:rRNA from 1 species
UUGAACGCUGGCGGCAGGCCUAACACAUGCAAGUCGAGCGGAUGAAGGGAGCUUGCUCCUGGAUUCAGCGGCGGACGGGUGAGUAAUGCCUAGGAAUCUGCCUGGUAGUGGGGGAUAACGUCCGGAAACGGGCGCUAAUACCGCAUACGUCCUGAGGGAGAAAGUGGGGGAUCUUCGGACCUCACGCUAUCAGAUGAGCCUAGGUCGGAUUAGCUAGUUGGUGGGGUAAGGGCCUACCAAGGCGACGAUCCGUAACUGGUCUGAGACGAUGAUCAGUCACACUGGAACUGAGACACGGUCCAGACUCCUACGGGAGGCAGCAGUGGGGAAUAUUGGACAAUGGGCGAAAGCCUGAUCCAGCCAUGCCGCGUGUGUGAAGAAGGUCUUCGGAUUGUAAAGCACUUUAAGUUGGGAGGAAGGGCAGUAAGUUAAUACCUUGCUGUUUUGACGUUACCAACAGAAUAAGCACCGGCUAACUUCGUG